GGAAGGCUCAGAGUAGUUCCAAUUCCAAACUGGAAGACGGACGGAUCCUUUUAUAAACAAGAGCUCAAGAAACGUAGAAAAAGGAUUCUGACAAGUCUUCGCUCGAAAGCCUAUAUAUAAGCCUAAGGCCUGUUCGCUUCGAGUCGUUUCAGUACCUCCAUAAAUUCGAUUCGAUACAAGCCAAGGUCACUAAAUGAAAGAAGAAAAAAUGAUUUGAUAGUUUUGACUUUAAUCUUGUAAAUAUUUCGACUCAGUCCCUUAACAGAGUACUAAGAUAUGUACCUCAAUUAAAGCAAAAAUGUUACGUGGUCCAUUAUGGGGAGUCUAUUGUUAAUAUUGGUUAAUGUUGUUUCGCACUUUUGCUUUUACGUUGUUGGGUGGGGAGUUAAAUUAGAAUUUAGAAAUCGGUGAGUAAGUUUAGAUUCGCGAAAUCGGUGAGUAAGUUUGGAUCCACGAAAUCGAUGAGUAAGGUUAGAUUCUUGAAAUCCGUGAGUAAGUUUAGAUUCGCAAAAUUGGUGAGUAAGUUUGGAUUCACGAAGCGAAGACGUUGAGUAAAGUAGAAUCGCUUAAUUUUUAGUCUAUUUAAAAAUAGCAAAACAGUUAUCAAAAUGCUAGAAAUCUGAAAGGUGUUAAUUUUGUUAUACUUAUUGUCUAUAAAUUAAAUGUAUGUAAACAACAGUAAAAGCGCCUCAGUGGCGUGGUUGGUAUGGUCUUUGCUUGCCACCUCGGUGGCCGCAAGUUCGAUUCUCGGUCAUUCCACUGAGGGGUUAGAGAUGAGUAAUUCUGGUGAUAGAAAUUCGCUCUCGACGUGGUUCGGAAGUCACGUAAAGCCGUUGGUCCCGUUGCUGAAUAACCACUGGUUCCAUGCAACGUAAAAACACCAUACAAACAAACAAACACAACAGCAGACGUCUGCUUAAUUUCUAUUACUAUAACGCAAAUAAGUAUUGAUAAAAAUGAAGAUGAUGAAAUGAAGAUGAUGAAUUGGAGCGAGAUCAAAUUUAACGUUUUUUUUUUUUUAAUAUAUCGGAUUUUAUUUUACUUUACUGAAACGACCUGGGUUGUAUCAAAGCGACUUUAUAUAUGUAUCGAAAUGACUCCAGGAACCAUGGCCCAGGAACCAGGGAUCAGGAUACAGGAACCAGAGACCAGGAUACAGGAACCAGGAGCCAGUAUACAGGAACAGAGGAUCAUGAACCAGGGAUCAGGAUACAGGAACCAGGAAUCAGGGACCUGGGAUCAGGAUACAGGAACCAGGAACCAGGGGCCAGGAUACAAGAACCAAGGACCAGGAAUCAGGAUACAGGAACCAGGGAUCAGGAUACAGGAAACAAGGACCAGGAUACAGGAAUCAAGAACCAGGAACCAGGAUACAGAAACCAGGGACCAGGAUACAGGAAGCAGUGACCAGGAGCCAAGGACUAGGAUACAGGAACCAAGGACCAGGAUACAGGAUACAGGAAACGGGGACCAGGAACCAAGGACUAGGAUACAGGAGCCAAGGACCAGGAUACAGUGGCCAGGAUACAGGAGCCAGGAACCAGGGACCAGGAUACAGGGACGUGGAUAGAGGGACCAGAAUACAGGAACCAAGGACCAGUAACCAGGGAUCAGGAUAUAGGAACCAGGGACCAAGAUACAGGAACCAGGGACCAGGAUACAGGAACCAAGGACCAGGAUACAGGAACUAGGGACCAGGAUACAGGAACCAGGGACCAAGAUACAGGAACCAGGGACCAGGAUACAGGAACCAAGGACCAGGAUACAGGAACCAAGUACCAGGAUACAAGAACCAGGGAACAGGAUACAGGAACCAGGGACUAGGAUACAGGAAUCAGGGACCAGGAUUCAGGAACCAGGAACCAAGGACCAGGGAUUAGGGACCAGGACACAGGAACCAAGGACCAGGAACCAGGGACUAGGUAUAGAAUGCUGUUUAACCUUCACGACAGGCCAGGAAUCAAUCAUUGCAUCGGUCUCUCGGCGUUGUGAACAGUUGUUCCCGUCACAUCCACUAUAAAGCUGCUGCCUUGAAGUUCAAUUUUCUACAGCAUCAUAAUGUGGCCGAUACUCCUGAUGGGAAAGGGUCUGCUGAAGCCCACAAGCGUAAAUGGGACAAGAAAUUGAUUAGACUCAGCCUCACCUUCGAACUCCACAGGAAAACUGCUAUUUAAGAAGAGCAUCAACUAGAGACGACUACAUCUAUUUUUCAUCAAAGUGUAUAAAGGGCCUGAAUGAAGAAGAGAAAAUGGCUCCUUUAUCGUAAAUGCUAGCAAUUCAUCUUUUCACUUGAAGUGAAUUUUACAAUAGUUGACUAUUGAAACUAUGAUAGUGUCAAGUUCAUGAUCAUGAGAAAAGUGUUAGUUGAUCAGGGUCAUUAUGGUGCCUAUUUGCCCGAAACUGAAUAGAGGUCAGCUCUGCUUCUUGUGAUUUCUAAAUCGGAGCCGAAGGAAUCAUUGUUUUAAGAGGUAUUAGUUCACUGUAAUUCAAGAUAUGUCUUUUCUGAUCUAAAUCUGGUACUGGUUCACUAUUUUCGUUAUCUCAUUGUAUCCGGGUACAUAUGUAGUUCAGUUUUUUUUUAUUAACAUUAGAUAGCUGACAUACAUCAGGAUACAUUUUUUUAACGCAAAGAUUGAUAAGUUAUGGUCGGUCAUAAGAAAGCUCCGAUUGUUUCACGAUACAUUGCCUGUAAUUCUCAUUUAUUUAAUAUCUAUCAGAUGAUACUUCAGGCAACAUGAUAUUUAACUUUAAUUUCUUAACGUAAUAUCAGCGACAGGUAGUCGUGGCUACAUUUUACAUAUCGAGAAGUCAUGGAAGUUUAAAGUUCUUUUUUUUUUAUGAACUUGAGGUUUUGAUUUGCAGGAUGUAGUUGUUCAUUGUUCAGAGCACACUAACCUGGGUAUGGGUAUGAGGGUCACGUGAGAUUACUACAUUAGUAGGUUGUGCUUUUGUUUUCAGUAAUUUUCUCGAAUUUGGAAAACUCCAUAGCAAAAUAUGUGCAUUACUUAAAAAAAUAGGUUUUGCAGAUUUUAUGGAAUAUCUUCUUGUUGGUCAGUAUACUCAUGAAUAGUGUUGUGAAAUCAAACCUGUGAGGUAUUAACCUCUACGGAAUAGGUAACAUUUUCGACUGAAGGUAAAAAUUUAUGUCAUUUUACUCUUAAACUAGCUUCUUAGGAGAUACUUGUGGUUAAGUUAAGCUUAUACUCCGUGUAGCCUUCAUCCAUAGUUUGUUCCAUUUGUUGAUUUAUAUCAGAGUUCCUUUGGAAUUAAAUUGAUAAUAAUUUUGAGGUCUUCUGUUACUGCCGUGUAACGUAUUCAUUGGUAAUUUUAUUUAAUCAUUUAAGUUACUGCUAGGCUUUGCUUAAUACACGUAAGAUAUCACAGCCUGAAGCAUUUAAACUUUUCCGCUGUUUACUUAGGAGAUAUUUCAGAUUUUAGUGAAUUAGCUUUAUCUCAUACUUUAUGGCAUAAAGAACUGUUCCUUCGUUCAAGUAAUCAAACAAAACUUUCUGAAUUUAUGAAUUUUGUAUAAGGCUUACCAUGAAAAUAAUGCUUCUUGCUUAGCAUUAAACAUAACUUAGAAGUUAAUUCUGUAACUAAUGGGGAGUACCUUAUGAAGAGCAUUAUUUUCUUGAUAUUUCUACAUUUCAAGACACUGGUGGCAUGUGGUUCCAAAUUGAGAGUGUUAUGCUCUGUGUUAUACUUUGAGGGGAGUUUUGUAUUGUCAAGUAUAUUGGAGAUAAAAGAUGUGAUAAGUAAUCUCAGAUUCAAAGCAUCACUUUAAAAGGAAAUUAAUCUUUUUAGUUGAGGCUUCAUUGACGUGUAAAUUUUUGGAGAAAUUCAAGUUUGUUUUUUUCACUUAAGUAAUGGUUUAUGAAGAUUUUAGAAUUUCAAGUGAAACCGUGUUUUGACACGUGUAGAUUUUUAGGUUGAGUAAUUUAUCUUUUUUUUGUGUUAAUGUUUCAUACAGUUCUCAUUGAAGUUCAGUAAUUUGAUCAGAUUAAGGUUGUUAAAUUUUGUUGUUAAAAAUUGGAUUUGUAUAAUGGGAAAAUAAUUGUAAUAAUCAAAUUCUGCUUUUAUUUUUGUACAAGGACUUCUGUAUUUCAGCUUGGUACCUAGUUCUCACCAAGUAUUAUCCUUUAUUUAGCGAAACAACCUUAUAAGUUCCCUAUUUAUUUCUUGGCACACCAAAAAAUUAAGAUAAUUUUAUUAAUAUCCGUUGUCUACUUAUUUGUGGUACGCCAGGUGUAUACAUUGUAGUCUAGGUUAGAUAAACUUUGAAUAUGGAGAGACAAUGCUAUAAAUUUUGUUGUCUCGAUGGCCCACGUUCGCAGAAAUCUGGAGUGUCAAAAUUUUAUGCAAAGUUUUUAGUUUCAGAAACAGGGUAAAUUUGUAAAAUCUGAUCUAAGAUAGUGUUAUUCUUGCUACUUCCACUCAACCUUCCUUUCUGACCAGGAUUCCCUUUAUGUGAACUUUAAAUCACACACUACACACUGAAGGGCCUCCUGUUGAAGUUGUUACACAGAAACACUUUUAAAUUUACAACACAACUUGGAAACUUCAGAAUCGCUUAUCAGAAGAAACUCUCCAUGUUCUAUACUAUAAUGAAGUCUACGUGCUUUUACUUUAAAGAAAUUCUCUCUCUCUCUCUCUCUCUCUCUCUCUCUCUCUCUCUCUCUCUCUCAUAGUUUUACUGAAGCUCUCCUACACAUUUUGUGCCUUGCCCAAGAUUUUAUAGUUUUCUGGAGAAUCACUAUAGUUUAAACUACACACUAAGUAGUAUUUAUUAUUACACUUACACUCCUACUCUAAACACACAUUCAAACUACACACCAAUGAAGGUUUGGUAUCGCUUUCGAACACAGGGAUUAAGUACCUCAUUCUUAGCAUUUUCACACUUAUACUCUUAUUCAAAGCACACAGUUUAAACUACACACUAAGUAGUAUUUGCUAUUACUCCCAGACACAAUUUAAAGUCUUACCCUACACACACACUUAAACUACAUAACACUUAAACUACACAUACACUUAAACUACACAUUGAAAUUACACGCCAAGUAGUUUUUGCCGCCACUUCCAGAAACAAAGAUUAGGUAUCUCAUUCAUAUCAUUUUCACACAAAUUCCUAUUCCAGGCACACUCUUAAAACACUUAUAAGUGUUCAAUUGUAACUUAGUACUAAUAGAUUUUUGAGUGUAUUGGAUUGUUAGGUAUAAAGCUCAGUUUUUUUGUCAUACUUUGAAGUAGUUCAUGUUUUGUUGUGUUAUUGUCUUUGAGAAGGGAAGCUUUUUCGGCACUGCAUACAAAGUGAGAACUGGGGCAGCUUCUGUCAAGAAAUAAACAUUUAUGUGUAAACUUGAACAGUUCAAAGAAAUCUAAGAAUUGCUGCUCAUUAAUAAGGAACGUAAGCUGAAGUACAGAAGUCCUGUCAAUAUAAAUAUAUGUAUGUACUGCAUCGAUGUGAAACUGGAAAUAUUAGAUUUAAAUGUUAAAAUAAAAAAGACCCCUCCCUUGGAGUCAGCAUUGCAGUGCUCCGUAGGGGGGAAUGCCCCCAGCAGGAGGUAUACAGCCAGUCGGUUACCAACUUUGAAGGUGAUCCCAAGGGCUCAAGUUUUCUAAGCUGACAGCAGAGAUAGGAAGCCUUA